CCUACGGGCGGCAGCAGUAGGGAAUAUUGCUCAAUGGGGGAAACCCUGAAGCAGCCACGCCGCGUGGAGGAUGAAGGUUUUCGGAUUGUAAACUCCUUUUGUUAGAGAAGAUAAUGACGGUAUCUAACGAAUAAGCACCUGCAAACCCCGUGCCAGCAGCCGCGGUAAUACGGAGGGGGCAAGGUUUACUCGGAAUCACUGGGGGUAAAGAGCGCGUAGGCGGGUUAGAAAGUCAGAUGUAAAAUCUUAUGGCUUAACCAUAGAACUGCAUUUGAACUGUUAUUCUAGAGUAUGGGAGAGGUAGGUGGAAUGCUUGGUGUAGGGGUAAAAUCCGUAGAGAUCAAGAGGAAUACUCAUUGCGAAGGCGACCUGCUAGAACAUAACUGACGCUGAUGCGCGAAAGCGUGGGGAGCAAACAGGAUUAGAUACCCUAGUAGUC
rnacentral:rRNA from 1 species